rnacentral:misc_RNA from 1 species
GAUGAAGAACGUAGCGAAAUGCGAUAAGUAAUGUGAAUUGCAGAAUUCAGUGAAUCAUCGAAUCUUUGAACGCACAUUGCGCCCCUUGGUAUUCCGGGGGGCAUGCCUGUUCGAGCGUCAUUAUAACCCUCAAGCUCAGCUUGGUGUUGGGGCCUGCCAACUGGCAGCCCUUAAAAUCAGUGGCGGCGCCAUCUGGCUCUAAGCGUAGUAAUUUCUCUCGCUAUAGGGUCCCGGUGGAUGCUUGCCAACAACCCCCAAUUUUCUAUGGUUGACCUCGGAUCAGGUAGGGAUACCCGCUGAACUUAAGCAUAUCAAUAAGCGGAGGA